CCGGGCUGCAGUCGCACUGGGGACUCGGGUGGGGAAAGGUCUGCCUCCAGGAUCAUCCAGGCUGAUGUCAGCGAUUGCUUCAAACAAAGAACGUGGCCGAAGUGACUUUCUCCAGACUUCUGAGGCUGCUUCAGAAGACCCGCAGCUUCUUGGACCUGCGCCCGGGGAGUAAGAACAGGCUUGUGCUUCAGAGACGGGGAAACGCUGCCCCUCCCUGUCCCUCCUGCGUGCUGUCACCUCAGCACCGUGCAGUCGCUCUGCUGUCUCAGGUGUACGGUUUCCGAGCAGCACAGGAGAACCCUGCAAGUUCCAUAUGAGAUCAUGGCAGAACAGAGAGCCCAGAAAUAAACCCACACACUUAUGGUCCAUUAAUCUACAACAAAGGAGGCAAGAAUACAACGGAGAAAAGACAGUCUCUUCAACAGGUGGCGCUGGGAGAGCUGGACAGCUACAUUUAAGGAGUCAAAUUAGAACAUUUUCUCACACUACGUACAAAAAUAAACUCAAAAUGCAGCAAAGACUUAAUAAGAAUGAAAACCAAAAAAUUCCUUCAAGAAAACACAGGUAAAGCACUCCUUGACAUAAACUGCAAUGAUUUUUUUUUGGAUGUCUACUAAGGCAAAGGAAACAAAAGCAAAAAUAAAUAAAUGGGACAGAAUUAAUCUUAGAAGCCUCUGUACAGUGAAGACAUCCAUCACCGAAAAGCACAGACAACCUACUGAGUGGGAGAAGCUGUUUGCAAGUAUCUGCCAAAGGGUUAAUAUUAAAAAUAUAUGAACAGCUAUACAAUUCAACAUCAAAAACAAAAAACCUGAUUAAAAAAUAAGCAAAAGACCUAAAUGGACAUUUUCCCGGAGACACACAGGUGGCCGACAGGCACGUGAAAUGAUGCUCAGCGCAGCACAUCACAGAAAAGCACAAAUCACAGCCACAGGGAGAUAUCACUAUUAUUAUCAUUUGGAGGAAAGAUUUUGAAAAUUAAAUGCGCAAGGAAUAAUGGUAAGAAAAUACAAAUGAGAAUAAAAGAAUAGAUACGUGGCAUUUAGCUUAGCUUCCCUUCUGUGAAUAGACUAUGUUGAAUACGCUAUUUGUAUCUGUUCACAGUUAUGCAGGAAGUUCCUGAAUUUGCUGGCAAUGCAGCACAGUAAAGUACUUAACACUUCUGAAGCCUUUAGGAUUUUUUUUGAAAAUUAUUUCUAUUUACUGCAAAAUGGUGAGCAGCCUUAUUUUCAGGACUUUAAAGAAAGUCAAAUAAUUACUAUUUAAGUCUGAAAAGUUGUAAUGUAUCUUGCAAAGAAUUAUUAUACUUAUUUAUAUGUAAAUAGAAGUUCCAGGUAUAAUUCCUUAAGUGCUGAGAUGAAUACACACCACAAAAUGACUUGGGUUGGAAAGAAAUUAUUAUGACCUUUAAAAAUAUUGCAAUAAAUUAGUUAUUUAAAAACACUGCAAGAAAGAAAAAUUUAACCCUGUAACUGAUUAUUUUGUGAUACAAGCAAAACUUCUAUAAAUUAUUUAACAUUUAUAGUAGUUUUAGAUAUCUACAUGUUAAAAGUUUUAAGUAGACAUUCAAUAAUCAGAAUGAUUAUGUUAUUAAAGUGUAAUCUAAGAAACAGAAUAAUUUAUUUCAGGCAUAUGAGAAAAAACCUUUUAAAGAAGUUUUAUAUUUGUUAUUAUUUCAAGAUUAUACCAUGGGGUUUAUCAUUUUUCCAUUUCUUAUCAAUUAAAUUAAAAUUACAUGUGAGUUAUUUAAUGACUAUAACCCUUGGCAAAUGUCUUAAAUUACUGGUUACAAAGAAUGUCCACAGAGGCGCUGAGUAAUAUACAUAUUUUGAAAACAAUUUCAAAUUUGAA